AAAAAUGUUAAAUGUAAUGUUAAACAUGUGUAAAAUAUACAUAGAUUUUAAAUCGCGUUCAGGAAGAAGAUGGUGGAUACGACCCGUGAAUUUAACAAGAAAGGAAUUAGGGUUUCAUGAUACUUGUUUUAAACCGCUGAAAUCAAUGGAUAAAUAGCACUUUUUCCAAUAACAAGGAUGAGUGUUCACAAAUUUAAUGCUCUUCUUUGUUUGUUAAAAGACAAGCUCCAUCGGUGUUCGAGAAGAGAACCGAUAAAUGAAGAAACACGUUUGGGAAUUACAUUGAUGUACUUAUCUCAAGGAUGCUGUCUUAAAUUUCUGGCAUGGUCUCACAAAAUUGGACUUUCAACGGUGAGGAAAAUUAUUUACGAAACCUGCGAUGCAGUUUGGAAUGAAUUACACACAGUUUAUGUUGCUCAACCAAACCAAUCCGAAUGGAGAAACAUUUCUGAAAGAUUUUAUAUAAAAACCGGAAUGCCGCACUGCCUAGGUGCUAUUGAUGGCAAACAUAUUAACAUAGUUUGCCCGAGACGUAGUGGUUCACUUUUUUAUAAUUAUAAAAAAACGUUCAGCAUUGUUCUAAUAUUUAUAAUACUUUAGAAUAAAGUUUAUAAUAUAACAGGCUUUUCUUUGACUCACCCGGCAAAUUUACUAUUUUCGCUACUUCUUCC